AUUGAACGCUGGCGGCAGGCCUAACACAUGCAAGUCGAACGGAGUGGCGGACGGGUGAGUAACGCGUAGGAACCUGCCUCAUAGCGGGGGAUAACUAUUGGAACCGAUAGCUAAUACCGCAUACUGUGAGAUGGACCUGCGUUGUAUUAGCUAGUUGGUGAGGUAAAGGCUCACCAAGGCGACGAUCCGUAACUGGUCUGAGAGGAUGAUCAGUCACACUGGAACUGAGACACGGUCCAGACUCCUACGGGAGGCAGCAGUGGGGAAUAUUGGACAAUGGGCGAAAGCCUGAUCCAGCCAUGCCGCGUGUGUGAAGAAGGUCUUCGGAUUGUAAAGCACUUUAAGUUGGGAGGCGUUACCAACAGAAUAAGCACCGGCUAACUUCGUGCCAGCAGCCGCGGUAAUUC
rnacentral:rRNA from 1 species